rnacentral:rRNA from 1 species
GAUGAACGCUAGCUACAGGCUUAACACAUGCAAGUCGAGGGGAAACGGCAUUGAGUGCUUGCACUUUUUGGACGUCGACCGGCGCACGGGUGAGUAACGCGUAUCCAACCUUCCCAUGACUAAGGGAUAACCUGCCGAAAGGCAGACUAAUACCUUAUGGUCUUCACUGACGGCAUCAGAUGUGAAGUAAAGAUUUAUCGGUUAUGGAUGGGGAUGCGUCUGAUUAGUUAGUUGGCGGGGUAACGGCCCACCAAGGCAACGAUCAGUAGGGGUUCUGAGAGGAAGGUCCCCCACAUUGGAACUGAGACACGGUCCAAACUCCUACGGGAGGCAGCAGUGAGGAAUAUUGGUCAAUGGGCGAGAGCCUGAACCAGCCAAGUAGCGUGCAGGAUGACGGCCCUAUGGGUUGUAAACUGCUUUUGUAUGGGGAUAAAGUCAAUCACGUGUGAUUGUUUGCAGGUACCAUACGAAUAAGGACCGGCUAAUUCCGUGCCAGCAGCCGCGGUAAUACGGAAGGUCCGGGCGUUAUCCGGAUUUAUUGGGUUUAAAGGGAGCGUAGGCUGGAGAUUAAGUGUGUUGUGAAAUGUAGACGCUCAACGUCUGACUUGCAGCGCAUACUGGUUUCCUUGAGUACGCACAACGUUGGCGGAAUUCGUCGUGUAGCGGUGAAAUGCUUAGAUAUGACGAAGAACUCCGAUUGCGAAGGCAGCUGACGGGAGCGCAACUGACGCUGAAGCUCGAAGGUGCGGGUAUCGAACAGG